rnacentral:rRNA from 1 species
AACGAACGCUGGCGGCGUGUUUAAGACAUGCAAGUCGCACGGAAGAUUUAUGGAGCUUGCUUUAUGGAUCUUUAGUGGCGCACGGGUGAGUAACACGUGAGUUACAUGCCCUGUAGAGGGGGAUAGCCCGGGGAAACUCGGAUUAAUACCCCAUGGUCCCGCAAGGGUAAAGGUGGCCGCAAGGCUGUCGCUGCAGGAUUGGCUCGCGUCCUAUCAGCUAGUUGGUGAGGUAACGGCUCACCAAGGCGACGACGGGUACCUGGUCUGAGAGGACGAUCAGGCACACUGGAACUGAGACACGGUCCAGACACCUACGGGUGGCAGCAGUCGAGAAUCAUUCACAAUGGGGGCAACCCUGAUGGUGCAACGCCGCGUGGAGGAUGAAGGUCUUCGGAUUGUAAACUCCUGUCAUCUGGGAGUAAGACCUGGCAGUGAAUAGCUGACAGGGUUGAUAGUACCAGAAGAGGAAGGGACGGCUAACUUCGUGCCAGCAGCCGC